rnacentral:rRNA from 1 species
CUAAUACAUGCAAGUCGAACGAACUCUGGUAUUGAUUGGUGCUUGCAUCAUGAUUUACAUUUGAGUGAGUGGCGAACUGGUGAGUAACACGUGGGAAACCUGCCCAGAAGCGGGGGAUAACACCUGGAAACAGAUGCUAAUACCGCAUAACAACUUGGACCGCAUGGUCCGAGUUUGAAAGAUGGCUUCGGCUAUCACUUUUGGAUGGUCCCGCGGCGUAUUAGCUAGAUGGUGGGGUAACGGCUCACCAUGGCAAUGAUACGUAGCCGACCUGAGAGGGUAAUCGGCCACAUUGGGACUGAGACACGGCCCAAACUCCUACGGGAGGCAGCAGUAGGGAAUCUUCCACAAUGGACGAAAGUCUGAUGGAGCAACGCCGCGUGAGUGAAGAAGGGUUUCGGCUCGUAAAACUCUGUUGUUAAAGAAGAACAUAUCUGAGAGUAACUGUUCAGGUAUUGACGGUAUUUAACCAGAAAGCCACGGCUAACUACGUGCCAGCAGCCGCGGUAAUACGUAGGUGGCAAGCGUUGUCCGGAUUUAUUGGGCGUAAAGCGAGCGCAGGCGGUUUUUUAAGUCUGAUGUGAAAGCCUUCGGCUCAACCGAAGAAGUGCAUCGGAAACUGGGAAACUUGAGUGCAGAAGAGGACAGUGGAACUCCAUGUGUAGCGGUGAAAUGCGUAGAUAUAUGGAAGAACACCAGUGGCGAAGGCGGCUGUCUGGUCUGUAACUGACGCUGAGGCUCGAAAGUAUGGGUAGCAAACAGGAUUAGAUACCCUGGUAGUCCAUACCGUAAACGAUGAAUGCUAAGUGUUGGGAGGGUUUCCGCCCUUCAGUGCUGCAGCUAACGCAUUAAGCAUUCCGCCUGGGGAGUACGGCCGCAAGGCUGAAACUCAAAGGAAUUGACGGGGGCCCGCACAAGCGGUGGAGCAUGUGGUUUAAUUCGAAGCUACGCGAAGAACCUUACCAGGUCUUGACAUACUAUGCAAAUCUAGAGAUUAGACGUUCCCUUCGGGGACAUGGAUACAGGUGGUGCAUGUUGUCGUCAGCUCGUGUCGUGAGAUGUUGGGUUAGUUCCCGCAACGAGCGCUAUCCUUAUUAUCAGUUGCUAGUCAUUAGUUAGUCACUCUGGUGGAACUGACUGGUGACGACCGGAGCAGUGGAGCAUGACGUCUAAUCAUCCUUGCCCUUUUAGGAC